UUUCAGAUGCAGAAACUUUUGACAUAUGAAUUCAUCUUGACUAAGGAACUCUUCACAGCACUGCAUCUGAACAGUCACAACCUCACAGAGCUGCACAACUGCCCCACUCAAGAUCAGUAUUGAACCUGGAAUCUCAUCUUGUGUACAGCAAAGGCAGAGCUGAAAAUUCACUGUUUGUCUUGUAUUGUGUGUGGCAAAACCUGGAAUAACACAUGGGAGCCCUCCAGGAA